rnacentral:rRNA from 1 species
CCCUUAGAUGUUCUGGGCCGCACGCGUGCUACACUGAGUGGAUCAGCGGGUCAGGUUGCGCGAAAGCGUUUCCUAAUCUUUAAAUCCGCUCGUGAUGGGGAUUGACGGUUGCAAUUUUCUGUCAUGAACGAGGAAUACCUUGUAAGCGCGGGUCAUCAUCCCGCGCUGAAUACGUCCCUGCCCCUUGUGCACACCGCCCGUCGCUCCUACCGAUUGAGUGGUCCGGUGAGGCUUUGGGAUCUGAGCGGAAAGAGCGUUUCGCUGUUUCUGCUCGGAAAACUCAGUCGAACCUUAUCAUUUAGAGGAAGGAGAAGUCGUAACA